rnacentral:rRNA from 1 species
ACAAGUACCGUGAGGGAAAGUUGAAAAGAACUUAGAGGUGAGAGUUCAACAGGGCGUGAAACCGCUUAGAAGUAAACGGAUGGUGCUGACAUUGUUUCUGCCGGAUUCAGCCGGCCUGAUGGCUGAUCGUUUGUGCGUCGAUCGCAAGACGGCGUACAGAGUGUCCACGGCCUAGGGCUGGUGCAUUUUCGGUAGAAUGCAUCAUGACCGUUGACGACGCUGGCAUAAGGCCGGUUGGUUGCCGUCUGCAGGUUUUCGGACUUGCAGUGCCCCACUAGCCGUGUCCUGUCCAGGUUGGCGUCAACGGAUAACUGGACGUGCCCGAUUCUCUCGUCUUCUGUUUUACACUGGCUGAUUGAAUCGCUAGGCCGUGCUUGCACGGCUGGGCAACCCUCAGUCUUUGUAGGGCGGUCGUACGAGUUGGCACUGAAGGUCUAUGGUGUCCGCGUCAGUCCCCCAUCCGACCCGUCUUGAAACACGGACCAAGGAGUCUAACAUGUGCGCAAGUCAUGGGGUGGAAAACCCAAAGGCGUAAUGAAAGUAAAGGCCCGCAAGGGCUGAGGUGUGAUGUUCAGUUCUACUGGACCGCAACACCGUCCCAUCGCAUCGGCUUGUCCGGGCGGUGGAGAAAGAGCGUACACGUUAGGACCCGAAAGAUGGUGAACUAUGCCUGAGCAGGAUGAAGCCAGAGGAAACUCUGGUGGAGGUCCGUAGCGGUUCUGACGUGCAAAUCGAUCGUCAGACUUGGGUAUAGGGGCGAAAGACUAAUCGAACCAUCUAGUAGCUGGUUCCUUCCGA